rnacentral:rRNA from 1 species
AAUAUUGGACAAUGGGGGCAACCCUGAUCCAGCGACGCCGCGUGUGUGAAGAAGGCCUGCGGGUUGUAAAGCACUUUUAGUGGGGAUGAAAAGCUCGGGGCUAAUACCUCCGGGUCUUGACCUAACCCAAAGAAAAAGCACCGGCUAACUCUGUGCCAGCAGCCGCGGUAAUACAGAGGGUGCGAGCGUUAAUCGGAAUUACUGGGCGUAAAGCGUGCGUAGACGGUUAGGUAAGUCGGAUGUGAAAGCCCCGGGCUCAACCUGGGAAUUGCAUUCGAGACUGCUUAGCUAGGAUGCGGAAGAGGGAAGCGGAAUUUCCGGUGUAGCGGUGAAAUGCGUAGAUAUCGGAAGGAGCACCAGUGGCGAAAGCGGCUUCCUGGUCCAGCAUCGACGUUCAGGCACGAAAGCGUGGGGAGCAAACAGGAUUAGAUACCCUGGUAGUCCACGCCAUAAACGAUGACAACUAGACGUUGAGAGGGUAAGCCUCCCAGUGUCGCAGCUAACGCGU